rnacentral:rRNA from 1 species
CCUACGGGGGGCAGCAGUGGGGAAUAUUGGACAAUGGGGGGAACCCUGAUCCAGCCAUGCCGCGUGUGUGAAGAAGGCCCUCGGGUUGUAAAGCACUUUCAGUGAGGAAGAACGCCUGGUGGUUAAUACCCAUCAGGAAAGACAUCACUCACAGAAGAAGCACCGGCUAACUCCGUGCCAGCAGCCGCGGUAAUACGGAGGGUGCGAGCGUUAAUCGGAAUUACUGGGCGUAAAGCGCGCGUAGGUGGCUUGAUAAGCCGGUUGUGAAAGCCCCGGGCUCAACCUGGGAACGGCAUCCGGAACUGUCAAGCUAGAGUGCAGGAGAGGAAGGUAGAAUUCCCGGUGUAGCGGUGAAAUGCGUAGAGAUCGGGAGGAAUACCAGUGGCGAAGGCGGCCUUCUGGACUGAAACUGACACUGAGGUGCGAAAGCGUGGGUAGCAAACAGGAUUAGAUACCCCUGUAGUC